rnacentral:rRNA from 1 species
GUGAGGAAUUUUCCGCAAUGGGCGAAAGCCUGACGGAGCAAUGCCGCGUGAAGGAUGAAGGCCUAUGGGUUGUAAACUUCUUUUCUUAGAGAAGAAUAUUGACGGUAUCUGAGGAAUAAGCAUCGGCUAACUCUGUGCCAGCAGCCGCGGUACGACAGAGGAUGCAAGCGUUAUCCGGAAUGAUUGGGCGUAAAGCGUCUGUAGGUGGCUUGAAAAGUCUCCUGUAAAAGAUCAGGGCUUAACGCCGGGUCGGCAGGAGAAACUCUGAGGCUAGAGUUUGGUAGGGGCAGAGGGAAUUCCCGGUGGAGCGGUGAAAUGCGUAGAGAUCGGGAGGAACACCAAAGGCGAAAGCACUCUGCUGGGCCACAACUGACACUGAGAGACGAAAGCGAGGGGAGCAAAAGGGAUUAGAAACCCGAGUAGUCC